GACGAACGCUGGCGGCGUGCUUAACACAUGCAAGUCGAACGGAAAGGCCCUGCUUUUGUGGGGUGCUCGAGUGGCGAACGGGUGAGUAACACGAGAGUAACCUGCCCUUGACUUUGGGAUAACUUCAGGAAACUGGGGCUAAUACCGGAUAGGAGCUCCUGCUGCAUGGUGGGGGUUGGAAAGUUUCGGCGGUUGGGGAUGGACUCGCGGCUUAUCAGCUUGUUGGUGGGGUAGUGGCUUACCAAGGCUUUGACGGGUAGCCGGCCUGAGAGGGUGACCGGCCACAUUGGGACUGAGAUACGGCCCAGACUCCUACGGGAGGCAGCAGUGGGGAAUAUUGCACAAUGGGCGGAAGCCUGAUGCAGCAACGCCGCGUGCGGGAUGACGGCCUUCGGGUUGUAAACCGCUUUCGCCUGUGACGAAGCGUGAUUGACGGUAAUGGGUAAAGAAGCACCGGCUAACUACGUG
rnacentral:rRNA from 1 species